rnacentral:rRNA from 1 species
GAUGAACGCUGGCGGCGUGCCUAAUACAUGCCAGUCGAGCGAACAGACGAGGAGCUUGCUCCUCUGACGUUAGCGGCGGACGGGUGAGUAACACGUGGAUAACCUACCUAUAAGACUGGGAUAACUUCGGGAAACCGGAGCUAAUACCGGAUAAUAUAUUGAACCGCAUGGUUCAAUAGUGAAAGACGGUUUUGCUGUCACUUAUAGAUGGAUCCGCGCCGCAUUAGCUAGUUGGUAAGGUAACGGCUUACCAAGGCAACGAUGCGUAGCCGACCUGAGAGGGUGAUCGGCCACACUGGAGCUGAGACACGGUCCAGACGCCUACGGGAGGCAGCAGUAGGGAAUCUUCCGCAAUGGGCGAAAGCCUGACGGAGCAACGCCGCGUGAGUGAUGAAGGUCUUCGGAUCGUAAAACUCUGUUAUUAGGGAAGAACAAAUGUGUAAGUAACUAUGCACGUCUUGACGGUACCUAAUCAGAAAGCCACGGCUAACUACGUG